rnacentral:lncRNA from 1 species
CAGACGCCCCAGCCCCCCACCGCCCCCAAAGGGGCGAGCGACGCCAAGCUCUGCGCUCUCUACAAAGAGGCCGAGCUGCGCCUGAAGGGCAGCAGCAACACCACGGAGUGUGUUCCCGUGCCCACCUCCGAGCACGUGGCCGAGAUCGUGGGCAGGCAAGGCUGCAAGAUUAAGGCCUUGAGGGCCAAGACCAACACCUACAUCAAGACACCGGUGAGGGGCGAGGAACCAGUGUUCAUGGUGACAGGGCGACGGGAGGACGUGGCCACAGCCCGGCGGGAAAUCAUCUCAGCAGCGGAGCACUUCUCCAUGAUCCGUGCCUCCCGCAACAAGUCAGGCGCCGCCUUUGGUGUGGCUCCUGCUCUGCCCGGCCAGCCGUGACCGCGACCCCGUGUUCGAGAUCACGGGUGCCCCAGGCAACGUGGAGCGUGCGCGCGAGGAGAUCGAGACGCACAUCGCGGUGCGCACUGGCAAGAUCCUCGAGUACAACAAUGAAAACGACUUCCUGGCGGGGAGCCCCGACGCAGCAAUCGAUAGCCGCUACUCCGACGCCUGGCGGGUGCACCAGCCCGGCUGCAAGCCCCUCUCCACCUUCCGGCAGAACAGCCUGGGCUGCAUCGGCGAGUGCGGAGUGGACUCUGGCUUUGAGGCCCCACGCCUGGGU